AUCCCAGCUAAACUUUGCUUGUGUUUAUCUGAUUCAUGGGAGGCCAGCAUCAAUAUUUGAAGCUUCGCUGAUAGCACCUUUUUGUUUUUAGGUGUUCCAAUAGUAGCUUUCCAAAUAACU
rfam:Populus trichocarpa isolate Nisqually-1 chromosome 8, whole genome shotgun sequence.